rnacentral:rRNA from 1 species
AUUGAACGCUGGCGGCAUGCCUUACACAUGCAAGUCGAACGGCAGCAUGGAGAGCUUGCUCUCUGAUGGCGAGUGGCGAACGGGUGAGUAAAGCAUCGGAACGUACCGUGUAGUGGGGGAUAACGUAGCGAAAGUCACGCUAAUACCGCCUACGCACUGAGGCGGAAAGCAGGGGAUCGUAAGACCUUGCGCUAUACGAGCGGCCGCUGUCAGAUUAGCUAGUUGGUAGGGUAAAGGCCUACCAAGGCGACGAUCUGUAGCGGGUCUGAGAGGAUGAUCCGCCACACUGGGACUGAGACACGGCCCAGACUCCUACGGGAGGCAGCAGUGGGGAAUUUUGGACAAUGGGGGCAACCCUGAUCCAGCCAUGCCGCGUGAGUGAAGAAGGCCUUCGGGUUGUAAAGCUCUUUCGGCCGGGAAGAAAUCGCACAGGCUAAUACCCUGUGUGGAUGACGGUACCGGCAUAAGAAGCACCGGCUAACUACGUGCCAGCAGCCGCUGUAAAAC